UGGGGUAUGGCUCAGUGGUACAGCGCUUGCCUAGCAUGCGUGAGGCACUGGGUUCAAUUCCCAGCACCACAU
rnacentral:tRNA from 1 species